GACGAACGCUGGCGGCGUGCCUAAUACAUGCAAGUCGAACGCAGUGGGGACGGGUGAGUAACACGUGGGUAACCUCCCAUCAGAGGGGAUAACACUUGGAAACAGGUGCUAAACCGAUACUGAGGGAUGAACCCGCGGUGCAUUAGCUAGUUGGUGAGGUAACGGCUCACCAAGGCGACGAUGCAUAGCCGCCCUGAGUGGGUGAGCGGCCAGACUGGAACUGAGACACGGCCCAGACUCCUCCGGGAGGCAGCAGUAGGGAAUCUUCGACAAUGGACGAAAGUCUGACCGAGCAACGCCGCGUGAGUGAAGAAGGUUUUCGGAUCGUAAAACUCUGUUGUUAGAGAAGCGGUAUCUAACCAGAAAGCCACGGCUAACUACGUGCCAGCAGCCGCGGUAAUUC
rnacentral:rRNA from 1 species